CGAGCCAAUCAGCAUCCAUUACGGAAGUCGAAUAGGCUGGUGGUUCGCAGGGUUCGUUUUACACUAAGCGUUCUCAGGAGAAAUAAGAACGGAUGCUGCCAUGGUUAACAGUUUUAUCUGAACACUUUUCAUGAAAAGAAGAGCACAAGUAAAGUUUUUUUUUUUUCAAUGGGAAGGAUUUUUACGAUUCCCCCCGUACGUGGUUUUGGCUAGCGAUACUGGCUGCUAAUCAAGAAGUUAACGGGGUUCCUGCAGCUGGCCCAUGGAAUCUCAGUACUGAAGGAUGAGAAGAGAUAGAAGAAAGCCCAGGCCUGGAUGACGAUGUACGACACUGCAGCAUAGGCAAUCACUACCUGGGUUGCAUAGCCAAUCCCUGAGGAGACAAGUUGGGUCAAUGGCUGAUACAAGCAGCAUCUCACAAAGGUCAAUGCAGCUGGAACCGUGGACUCUGGGGCUAUGGCAGGAAACAGAAAUGGUUGGUAACCAUGCACAAUGUGAAAAGGCGAUAGACCAGUGGAUGCAGAGGGGAGAGAAUUGUGAGAGAACUUGACCCAAACCAGUUUCUGAGACCAGGAGACAUUUCUGGAAGAGCACUGCUCCUAUACCGGCAUCAGACGUAUCAAAUUCUACAAUGAGCUGCUGUUUGGGAUCUGGCAAAGUGAGGAUGGGACCGGGGGUAAAGCUCGAGUUUGGGGAUUUCCACCACGACAGACACCGACCACCUUACGGCCACAGCUCCGGUCGGCCACCUCAGCAAUGGAGGCGCGGAACAAUGUCCCCCGCCUCCCCCGGAACAUGAGCAAAGUUUUGUAGGAGGUGAGAGUUGAAACUCGUUCUGACAGGGGAUUCUGCCAUACGUUCCCAGCAGACCCUCACAAUACGCUGUGCCGAGCCUGCAUUAGAUGAUUAUAGAGUUUGACAUUUCCUUUAAUAGAGCAACGGUCUUGGAAUAUAUCAUAGCACUUAUAAAGCAUCCAAUCAGAUUGUUGCUCACUGUAUAUAUCUGGGGAUUGGGAUACGCUGUGAUUGCAUCCACUCAUCAUCUCUCAUUUACUGUAUAUGUAAUAUUCUUUUAAGUUUACAGUGAUCUUUGCUUGACUUACUUUUAUCUUCAUACCAUACGACGGGAAUGAUAGAAACAGUGAAGACAUUGCUUUAUGCAAGAGACCCCUGUUUGAGUACACCCAUUCUAGGGACCAUAAAUCAAGGCAUGUAUAAGAAGAAGACAAGACAGCUCCAUUAUUCCAGGCAUAUAAAUCCCUAGAGCCCACGACGACUAUGCUCUGUCUGUACAUAAGGUAAUUAAAGUAGUUUGCACUGCACAUAGGCAGACACUAAGCGCAUGCUUUAGAAGAUGCUCCAUUUAAAACAGUUGUAAUUUGUUGAUGCAAAAUUUGGUGAUUACAGCAGCUUGGAAAUUAACUCCAUUGGUUGUUACUGGUUAUUUUGCUUUAAAGGAGUGUUCCUUUCACAAAGCCACCAUUAUUUCCCCACUUUGGCCACAAAAAUCCCUCACAAAGAGCAACUUUUCUCAGCUGCUGGACUAAAGAGUGGAAGAUUAUCCACAUGGGCAUGUUGAAACAAGCCUUUUUGGUCAGCUGUCCCUGAUGUUUCUUCUGAAAACAAUAAAUAGAGCAAAGCAAGCGAAGCGUUUCAUGUUCAACUGUGAUCUGGUGUGAU